CUGAACUUCUGGAGCAUGUGUAUAAGUAUAUUCGCAUAGAUGAAGCUGCUUCUGACCGACGCCAAACAAAUGAAAAAGGUCAGAAGAAGAAAGAAAAGAAAAGUGAAGCUUCGACCGAAUCAAGUAGGCCGACUAUCAACAAAAGAGCUUCACCUCGACGACAGAGUCCAAAGUCGAACAACUACGGCAGGUAUGACUUCACUCCUCUCUCUACUCCCCGUGCGCAGAUCCUGAUGG
rnacentral:lncRNA from 1 species